UACGGAGGGUGCAAACGUUGCUCGGAAUCAUUGGGCGUAAAGCGCACGUAGGCGGUCCGGCAAGUCGGAUGUGAAAUCCCUCGGCUCAACCGAGGAAGUGCAUUCGAAACUGCCAGACUUGAGUAUGGAAGAGGGUCGUGGAAUUCCCGGUGUAGUGGUGAAAUGCGUAGAUAUCGGGAGGAACACCAGUGGCGAAGGCGACUACCUGGCCUGUUCUUGACGCUGAGGCGCGAAAGCUAGGGGAGCAAACGGG
rnacentral:rRNA from 1 species